AGAGAAGAUGGGGCUAUGGGGCUUACAUCUUAAGAAAGAAAUUUGUGGGCUGCACAGCUCAUUUUAUUCCCAUUUUAUCUAUCCCCUUUCCCAAAUACAGCACAAGGCAAAGAACAGCUAAGGUCAAUUUCUCUGGUUUAAAAAAAUGAAUUGAUUACGAGUUAUAAGUUAAAAUUUAUAAGUAAAAAGCCCAGUUAGAAGAUUUCUUUUUCCCCUUUCCUCUCCUGAUUCAUACUUUGAUCUGUUUGCUUCUAUGCUAUAUUAGUUUAUUUAUUUAUUUUU
rnacentral:misc_RNA from 1 species